UACGUAGGGUGCGAGCGUUGUCCGGAAUUACUGGGCGUAAAGGGCUCGUAGGCGGUUUGUCGCGUCGGGAGUGAAAACUCAGGGCUUAACCCUGAGCCUGCUUCCGAUACGGGCAGACUAGAGGUAUGCAGGGGAGAACGGAAUUCCUGGUGUAGCGGUGAAAUGCGCAGAUAUCAGGAGGAACACCGGUGGCGAAGGCGGUUCUCUGGGCAUUACCUGACGCUGAGGAGCGAAAGUGUGGGGAGCGAACAGG
rnacentral:rRNA from 1 species